AAUUAAAUGGAAUGUAAGUCGCUUUGGAUAAAAGCGUCAGCUAAAUGACUGAAU
rfam:Gasterosteus aculeatus cont1.011940, whole genome shotgun sequence.